AGGGCGUGGAAUCUGCCUUUUGUUAGCCAGCACCAAGGCUAAACAGAAAAGGGCACAGGUGAAGAUGAAAGGGAAAAAUCACAUCACAAAAAAUGGCAACAUGACAACAGGAAAAGACCCAGCCAAAUGGUUUGUGAAACAAUCACUGUGGCAAUACUGGGAGACGUCAGCACUCCAGACAUAAACAUUCAUUGAGAUUAAGCUGUCCUGAGGACUCCAAUAGUAUGAGAUCACAUCUCUUCCCAGAGACCAGGUCUCUCCACACCAAGGGCACUGCAGGGCUCUGUUGCACCAAGGGUGAGCAGAUGCUGCUGUAAGUUAUUAACUGUGACUUUCAAUUCAGCCUGACAAGAAGGAGUUAAUGGAGGAGCCCCAUUACAAUGGUA